rnacentral:lncRNA from 1 species
GUAUUAGCUCUAGAAUUACCACAGUUAUCCAAGUAGGAGAGGAGCGAGCGACCAAAGGAACCAUAACUGAUUUAAUGAGCCAUUCGCAGUUUCACUGUACCGGCCGUGCGUACUUAGACAUGCAUGGCUUAAUCUUUGAGACAAGCAUAUGCUACUGGCAGGAUCAACCAGGUAGGUAGGUAGAGCGCGGCGAGGCCCCGACGCGGCCGGACGGCCGGCCGGGGGGCCUCGCGAGGACGGGCCCGGCGCCCCGCAAGCGAGGAGGACGACGGACGGACGGACGGACGGGCCGCGGACGGCCCGACCCGCGCCCG